rnacentral:rRNA from 1 species
AACGGCUGAACCAGCACUUGGAGGAUGUACAGCAAUAGCUGCUUGCAUCAUUCUAAUGAUGAUGCAAGAUUGACUAUGUUGAAUAAAAUUCUAGGUAGAAUUAUGAUAAUGACAUUGUCUGCCUAUGUGUCUUGACCAAAUUACGUGCCAGCAGUCGCGGUAAUACGUAGAAGACUAGUGUUAUUCAUGUUAAAUCGGUUUAAAGGGUACCUAGACGGUAGAUCAAGCUUUCUAAUUCUUGAAUUAUAAAACAAGAAAAUAAAUGAUAAGGUACUAAUUUACUAGAGUUACUUCGGAGGGGGUUUGAAAGUACUGGUGGUGUAGAGAUGAAAUUCUGUGAUACCUUUUUUCUAUUAAGAAGAGUUAUGGCACUGGCAUAGGCGAAAGCAUCCCCUUAUGUGAUAACUGACGUUGAGGGACGAAGGCUUUUUGUAGCGAUCAGGAUUAGAGACCCUAGUAGUUGGAGCAGAAAACGAUGAAUGUCAUAGAUUAGAUAUAUAAGUUUAUUCUAUAAAUGAAAGUGUAAGCAUUCCACCUCAAGAGUAAUUUGGCAACAUUGGAACUGAAAUCAUUAGACCGUUUCUGAAACCAGUAGUGAAGUAUGUUGUUUAAUUUGAUGAUCCGCAAAGAACCUUACCACAAUUUGAAUAUUUAUAUUAUUUAUUGUUUUUUUUUUAUUUAUCUAGACAAAACGAAUAUGAUCAAGAAAAGAAAAAGAAAAAUAAUGAAGAGGCAAUAACAUAUAUUUACAAGCGUUGCACGGCUGUCUUCAGUUAAUGUCGCGAGACUCUGGUUAGUUCCAUAAAAUUAACGUAAACCCUUACUUUAUUUUUAAAUAAAGUAGUUCCCCGCUAUAUUGGAUAUGAU